rnacentral:rRNA from 1 species
CGUUUCUUGAUAUUUAUAUGAAAUAGUAUCUGCCCACUGAUAAGUAUUUAAAGGGCCGCGGUAAUUUGACUGUGCAAAGGUAGCAUAAUCAUUAGUUUUUUAAUUGUUAACUUGUAUGAAUGAUUUGACGAGAUAUAUUCUGUCUUUAUUUUAUUAUUAGUUGAAAUUAAUAUUUAAAUUAAAAAGUUUAAAUGUUUAUGUGGGACGAGAAGACCCUAUAGAAUUUUAUUAUAAUAUAAUUUUUAUAAUUAGUUGUUGAGUUAUUUUAUUAUAAUUUGGUUGGGGUAACUGAAGGAUAAAUUUAAUUCCUUGUUUUUUUUUUAAUUAUUUUUAUUUAUUUGAUCCAAAAUUUUUGAUUUUAAGAUUUAAUUACCUUAGGGAUAACAGCAUAAUUUUUUUGGAGAGUUCAUAUUGAUGAAAAAGAUUAUGACCUCGAUGUUGGAUUAAGAUAAAUAUAGGAUGUAGAAGUCUUAACAUUAGGUCUGUUCGACCUUUAAAAUCUUACA